UACCCCCAGUGAUCCUAGUACCCCUGGUUGGGAACCACUGCCUUAGGUAGCAACGUUAGCUAGCUAGCUAUACACAUUCACAUCAUUGUCAAGACACACUUCAGCCACAACUCUCAUGCAUAGACUGCAGAGAGUUAUUCCCCAGCUAGCAGCACAUUUGACUUUCUCGUGCAUUUAUUUUACAGCUUGACCUCUGUUUGAAACCUAUGCCAGAGAUAGCCCGUGUCGUGCCAGGCGUGAGCUAGUCUUGUGUGUAGUUCAGCAAGUCUUCAGGUGUCUCUCCAACCCCACUUUCACUACACCAACUUACACAACCAGUGUAAGCACAGCUAUAGCUAGCUUCUCUUUGACUAUUUCACACUGACCCACUACCAGAGAGCUAAGAGAAGAGUCAGAUAUUUCCAUACCUAUGACAAAUCAUUAGCUACUUGAUUGCGGUGUUUGUAUUUAAACACUAUGCCACACAAAUGGCUUUUCUGAAGAGGGUUUAUACCAGCUCCCCUUUUGAGUAAAAACACAUUGCCCAACUAGUUUGUUGUCAAUGGCCUUGAUCAGAGCUAGGCCAUAACAUGCAUUGCUCUGGUAAAGGCAAUGGGUGUAGUGGGGCGCUGUGCAGGAUCAUAUUGCAUGCAUUUCAUCAAAUGUUUGUUUGAACAGCAACCAGUUCAACUGGCGUAACCAUCCACUUGUUUUGUGACUGCGUAGGUGAUCCCUUUUUGUCGAGAGGAAAAGUUAUAGUAAUUGUAUUGUAUGAAGGUUUGUUGUUAGGUGAUGGGGUACUACAGAUGAAAACCAUAGACUGAAAAAGAUAAAGGAAAGCGGGGAUAACCUGUAUCAAAGGUGAAGGGAAGAGGGGAUAACCUGUAUCAAAGGUGAAGUGAAGUGGGGAUAACCUGUAUCAAAAGUGAAGGAAAGAGGGGAUAACCUGUAUCAAAGGUGAAGGAAAGAGGGGAUAACCUGUAUCAAAGGUGAAGGGAAGAGGGGAUAACCUGUAUCAAAGGUGAAGGGAAGAGGGCAUAACCUGUAUCAAAGGUGAAGGGAAGAGGGGAUAACCUGUAUCAAAGGUGAAGGGAAGAGGGGAUAACCUGUAUCAAAGGUGAAGGGAAGAGGGCAUAACCUGUAUCAAAGGUGAAGGGAAGAGGGGAUAACCUGUAUCAAAGGUGAAGGAAAGAGGGCAUAACCUGUAUCAAAGGUGAAGGAAAGAGGGCAUAACCUGUAUCAAAGGUGAAGGAAAGAGGGGAUAACCUGUAUCAAAGGUGAAGGGAAGAGGGGAUAACCUGUAUCAAAGGUGAAGGGAAGAGGGGAUAACCUGUAUCAAAGGUGAAGGGAAGAGGGCAUAACCUGUAUCAAAGGUGAAGGGAAGAGGGGAUAACCUGUAUCAAAGGUGAAGGGAAGAGGGGAUAACCUGUAUCAAAGGUGAAGGAAAGAGGGCAUAACCUGUAUCAAAGGUGAAGGAAAGAGGGCAUAACCUGUAUCAAAGGUGAAGGAAAGAGGGGAUAACCUGUAUCAAAGGUGAAGGAAAGAGGGGAUAACCUGUAUCAAAGGAGAAGGAAAGAGGGGAUAACCUGUAUCAAAGGAGAAGGAAAGAGGGAACCUUGCUCAAGGACACAAUACAUAUUUUUCACCUUGACGGCUCGGGAAUUUGAACCAGCGACCUUUCGGUUAUUGGCCCAACGCUCUAACCGGUAGGCUACCUGCCCCCUAUAACUAUAGGAGGUAGUGUUAGAAGGUAGUGUUAGGCCUAUAGGAGGUAGUGUUAAUAGGUAGUGUUAGGCCUAUAGGAGGUAGUUAUAGGAGGUAGUGUUAGGCCUAUAGGGGAUAGUGUUAAUAGGUAGUGUUAGGCCUAUAGGAGGUAGUUAUAGGAGGUAGUGUUAGGCCUAUAGGAGGUAGUGUUAGGCCUAUAGGAGGUAGUGUUAGGCCUAUAGGAGGUAGUGUUAGGCCUAUAGGAGGUAGUGUUAGGCCUAUAGGAGGUAGUGUUAGGCCUAUAGGAGGUAGUGUUAGGAGGUAGUGUUAGGCCUAUAGGAGGUAGUGUUAGGAGGUGGUAGUGUUAGGCCUAUAGGAGGUAGUGUUAGGAGGUAGUGUAAGGCCUAUAGGAGGUAGUGUUAGGCCUAUAGGAGGUAGUGUUAGGCCUAUAGGAGGUAGUGUUAGGAGGUAGUGUUAGGCCUAUAGGAGGUAGUGUUAGGCCUAUAGGAGGUAGUGUUAGGCCUAUAGGAGGUAGUGUUAGGCCUAUAGGAGGUAGUGUUAGGCCUAUAGGAGGUAGUGUUAGGCCUAUAGGAGGUAGUGUUAGGCCUAUAGGAGGUAGUGUUAGGCCUAUAGGAGGUAGUGUUAGGCCUAUAGGAGGUAGUGUUAGGAGGUAGUGUUAGGCCUAUAGGAGGUAGUGUUAGGCCUAUAGGAGGUAGUUUUAGGCCUAUAGGAGGUAGUUUUAGGCCUAUAGGAGGUAGUGUUAGGCCUAUAGGAGGUAGUGUUAGGCCUAUAGGAGGUAGUAUUAGGCCUAUAGGAGGUAGUGUUAGGAGGUAGUGUUAGGCCUAUAGGAGGUAGUGUUAGUAGGUAGUGUUAGGCCUAUAGGAGGUAGUGUUAGGCCUAUAGGAGGUAGUGUUAGGCCUAUAGGAGGUAGUGUUAGGCCUAUAGGAGGUAGUGUUAGGCCUAUAGGAGGUAGUGUUAGGAGGUAGUGUUAGGCCUAUAGGAGGUAGUGUUUGGCCUAUAGGAGGUAGUGUUAGGAGGUAGUGUUAGGCCUAUAGGAGGUAGUGUUAGGUCUAUAGGAGGUAGUGUUAGGAGGUAGUGUUAGGCCUAUAGGAGGUAGUGUUGGAUAUAUUUAAUCUAACACACCGGAGCAGUAUGCUAUUUGCCUCAACUGCUACAGAUUCAAAGGAAACUUCAUGCAAGCAAACAUAUAGAAUUAAUAUGUAGGCCUUAUUGAUUCUGAUGCGGCCCAGUGGAGAAUUAAACAGGACAUUUAACUUUCUACCUUAAAC